AAGUAAACCAAAUAAAAUCUAACUUAUUCAAUUUUUAUAUAAAUACAAUUUGUAUUUCUUAGAAGACGACUUUGUCACGGAAACCCCACAAAACAGCGGGGAUCCCUUAGCAGGAAACCCACCGAAGGACCAGAUCGAAGAUCUAUGUUCGAGACUUGCAGGGAAAAUUGGUUGCCAAUACGAAGACUAGAGGCUAAUACGAACCAGUUAGCUGAGUGCACCCAGCAGAUUGCAAAGCUGACGGCACUGCUGCAGAUUUUCCUUAAGGGAAAGUCUAAGGAUGCAGAGGAGGAGCUGGUGGCGUUAGAAGUUAAAAUAUGCUCGUCUACUAAAACCGCCUAUAUUGAGACCAUCACCGCACUUUUUAGGCGAAAUAAUUUGCCUAAGUCUAUUAAAGGAGUUUUGGCAGAGUCUUUGCGACUUUAAUAUAGACGGCGUGAAUGGAAAAAAGACCCUUAAGGGCUUUCCAGGAUUUUUUUCCGUUAUAGUCGACAGCAUAUGUGCGUUGGGAGGCCAGUUGCCGAAAAAGUGCGCACGCCUUAUCUUGAGCAAAAAAAAUC